ensembl:lncRNA
UUUUUUUCUUUCUGCCUGUCCCGUUUGGCUCUUUUGCCAUCAGAAUUGUUGUCUAAAGGCAAAGAAAGAUGCCCAACGGAUUUACUUUACCAAAUUGACCAUCCCAGCCUUGCCGUAAUGGUCCAUUUGAUUCACCUUUUAUUGUUUAUUUUAUUGGGAAAGAAGGGGAGAAAGAAAGAGGGAAAGAGAAACAGCCGAGAAGAGGGACGGGGGAGAGGGGCAAAAAACAAAAACCAACAGAAUGGGCAGAAAAAAAUAAUAAUCCAUAUAUCGAUCACCUGGAUCACCUGCUGAGAAAGAAAAAAGAAAACAAGUAGAAGUGUCAUGGUUGGCUGCGUGGCAGGCGUGCAAGCAGGAGUGGUGGAUCCAAAAUGCAGGACUCAGACACAGAAGUUCAACUUAAAGAGCAGCUUUUUUGCUGGAAACCCUCUUACUAACUAAAGGCAUCAAAAGACAAACAAAAACGCUGGUGGACUAAAACACUGAAGCAGAAAACACUGAACUGGAACUGGAAACAAAACACUGGUAACACGGAGGCAAAACACACACAGCUUGUUGAGGGUACGACGCAACACUGACUCAGAGAAACACAGGGUCUAAAUACACUGGGAAGUAAUGAGGAGAAUGAGACACAGAAGGAGGGCACAGCUGGGGGAAAUUAGAACUGACGAGACAAGCAAAGCAGGACACAUUCACAUAAGACACGGACCUACAAAGUAAAACAGGAAGGAUCACACAGAGACGCGAACUUGACACAGUGGAGACAGCAACUAAGAAACACAGAGACAUAAACCAUAAGGCAGAGGACUCUAAGAACCGAGAGACACAGAGGGGAACUCAAACAUGCAGACACAGACUUACACAGAACAGAGGGGACAUAGAGAAACAUGAAGGGCAAGGGAUCGAAACUAGAAACCAUAGAAACUCACACCAAGUACAAUAAUACAAAAAUCACAAUGAACUAAAACGCUGGGUCAGGAGACCCAGGACCCUGACAGUACCCUACCCCCAAGGGCUGGCUCCCGACAGCCCAACACAAGAAAAAAAAAAAAAAAAAAAACCGCCCAAAACAGAAAACAACCCGACCAGGGCGGGUGGCGGGGGCCCAGGAAGGAGAGCACGAAACAAAAACACCGAAGCACAAGAAAAAUGGAGUCCAAAACAGAAGAGUUCAGGGGGCCGACAGCACAGGAGUCCAAACAGUUCAGGGGGCCGACCGCGUGGAAGGCAACGGCAGCGACGAAGGAGACGACGGAGCAGUUCAGGGGGCCGACUGCGCGGAAGGCAGCGGCGGCG